AUGGCAGCCGAAGGAGGUCUGAAGCUGCUCGGCUUGACGGUGAGCCCGUUCGUCAUCCGCGUACGCAUGGCGCUGCAGAUGAAAGGCAUCGGCUACGAGUACAUGGAGCAGGACCUGUUCACCAAGGGCGAGCUCCUCCGCAAGUCCAACCCGGUGCACAUGAAGGUCCCGGUGCUCAUCCGCGACGGCAGACCCAUCUGCGAGUCGCUGGCCAUCGUGCAGUACGUCGACGAGGCCUGGGCGGCCACGGGCCCCUCGAUCCUCCCCGCCGACCCCUACGACCGCGCCGCCGCUCGCUUCUGGGCCGCCUACGCCGACAGCAAGCUCUUGCCUGCGUGGGUAGGCAUCAUGUGGGCGGCGACGGAGGAGGAGAGGGCGGAGAAGGUCGGCGACACGCUCGCGGCUAUGGGCCAGUUGGAGGAGGCGUUCGGCAAGUGCUCGAAGGGAAAGGCCUUCUUCGCCGGCGAUUCCGUCGGGUACCUCGAUCUCGUCGUCGGCUCGCAGUUGCUCUGGUUCGAGGCGCUGCGGAAGAUGUUCGGCGUCGUGGUCAUCGAGGUCGGCAGAGCUCCACUCUUGGCCGCGUGGGUGGAGCGGUUUGGGGAGACUGAUACGGCCAAGGAGGUGGUGCCGGACGUUGACACGGCGGUGGAGUACCUGAAGAAGCUUCAGUCUCAUCGGGCUGGUGCCACUGUUGCCCAGUUGCUGUCGUGA
rnacentral:rRNA from 1 species